AUUGAACGCUGGCGGCAGGCCUAACACAUGCAAGUCGAGCGGAUGAAGGGAGCUUGCUCCUGGAUUCAGCGGCGGACGGGUGAGUAAUGCCUAGGAAUCUGCCUGGUAGUGGGGGAUAACGUCCGGAAACGGGCGCUAAUACCGCAUACGUCCUGAGGGAGAAAGUGGGGGAUCUUCGGACCUCACGCUAUCAAAUGAGCCUAGGUCGGAUUAGCUAGUUGGUGGGGUAAAGGCCUACCAAGGCGACGAUCCGUAACUGGUCUGAGAGGAUGAUCAGUCACACUGGAACUGAGACACGGUCCAGACUCCUACGGGAGGCAGCAGUGGGGAAUAUUGGACAAUGGGCGAAAGCCUGAUUCAGCCAUGCCGCGUGUGUGAAGAAGGUCUUCGGAUUGUAAAGCACUUUAAGUUGGGAGGAGGGGCAGUAAGUUAAUACCUUGCUGUUUUGACGUUACCAACAGAAUAAGCACCGGCUAACUUCGUG
rnacentral:rRNA from 1 species